UGCACAUUGUGCACAUGUUCCCUAAAACUUAAAGUAUAUAUAAAAAAAUAAGCAUUUGGUACUCUCUUUAUAAUUAGGGGCAUUUAACACUAAAAUCCUCAGGCACGGGGUUGUGAUUCUGAGCUGGGCUGGAACAUCUCAUUCACCCUUCUGUCUAUGCACAGAUGAAGGGAAAGCAUCAGAAAACACAUGGCAAUGGACUUGACUUGGGGGUCUCUGCUCUGCCCAUUAGGUGUUAUAAGAUAGGAAAGACAACAGGCUUGGAGUCUUAAGACUGCAGGAUCAGGGCCUGAACUGAGCCUUGAGGGAAUUUUUUUUAACUUGAAAAAUUGCAUUAUAAAAGUUAUACAUGCUCCUUAUACAAAACAGCCACAAAUAAAAUCAACCUUCCUUCCCUCCAGUCUUGCUUCUCUAAGAUAACCUCUCAUGACAGUUUGCUCUGUAUACUUCCUGCUUUUUUAAAAAAUGCACGUAUAAAAGCACAUAUCCAAACCACAAAUAAAGCACACAGAUUUUUUUCAAGAGCACCCCAUGUGUAUUGGCUUGAAGGAUUUCGAACAGUCGUUUUCAAAUAUUUGUGUGCUUCCUGUCCCUGACCUGGAGAGACAGGGCUGCCAGGUAUGACUGUGCAGGCUACACUCUGUCCAAGAGUGCCUGCCUGAAGGAUUUAGUGGGCCUGAGAACCAGCCCGUGUUCUGUUGCCCAGCCACACACCCUGGCUAUGUGCAUUUGGAGAAGGGGCACCGGAGGGAGGGAGGCCUUUUCCUAAUUACAGCAAAGGCACUGGAUCUUUGAGAAAGUUCCUGGUUAGUGAAAUCAGAGAAGGAAACUGACCAGUCUAAUGCCAGAGCAAGGCUAUUGUGUCACCCAAGGCCAUGUGUGUAAAGAAGCAGGUGGACUCUAUACCAAGGACACAUGAGCUGUGAGGUCAGGGACCUCUGGGAACUCAGAAGAACACAUGCUCCUGCCCUCUGGAAGCUGACAAUCCGUGAAUGGAGGAAGUCACACACCUGAAAUGUAUGUGAACAAAAGUCAAACGGAGUGUGGGAUGCUGUUGGUAUCUUAGAUCCAUGCUUCUGUCUGGGGAUAUGCUCUUCCAGGCUUUCUGAUGGUCAGUGUCACUGCCCUGCUCAAAAUCCUUCACUGGUGUGUCUUCCAUCACCUUCAGGAGAAAGAAAACCCAAACUUCUUUCCAGGACACGUGAGGAGAGACCUUUGAGAUCUGACCCCUGCCCCUGGCACCAGCCCCAUUUCCUGGCCCUGGGGUGCUUCCAGGAUCCUCUCCCUAACAUGCACCUGCUCUCACGGCUCUGCAACCUCUGGCGUUGGCACAUGUUGGUCUCCCAGUCUGGAUGUCCUCAUGGCCACCUGCCCCAGGUGCUCCUCUCUCUCUCUGGCUAGCACUGACUUAGUUCCUAACUGUGGUGAUGCCCAUGUGGUUUGGGAAUUUCCUUCCAAAUACCGUCUUUAAUCUUCCUUGUAGUUUAAGUGGAGUUGGAAACAGUGCAGCUGGUAAUAGACUGUGUCGUAUUCAUUCAUUCCUAAAACUUCACAGGCCGACAGAAGUGAGAAAGGAGGUCCAGAUAGCCCCGCCUGGGUCUCAGAGAGGGAGGGCUUCAGGAAGACAUAUUGAGUUUUUGUGCAAAUUAAACUUUACGUGCAGUGACAAACCAUUACAUGCUCUGUUGAGGUAGAAAAUGGCAUUUUUCUCUAAGCCCUGUUAUGUUUGAAAGUUAUUUGAAUAAUAGUAUACUUGUACAUCCAAAUCAAUUUCUUGUUAGAAUAAGUCUACUUUUGAAAAACAGUCUUUCAGGACACACAUAUUUAAUCUUGAUGGAAGAUCAUUUCAUUUUCUGACACCAUUCAGCUUCAGUGUUCAGUUGUAGUUGGAAUUAACACAAAUAAGCUCCUAAUUGUGUUUUGUGAAUCAAAACCUAGAAAAAAAUUAAAUCUUCCUCAAAAAGAAAAUAUAUUUCAUAUAUAUGGUGCCCUCUGGAUACCGUGGAAAGCCUGAGGUUGUCUCAAUCACCUGAGCAGGUUAGACUUUUUAUGCCAGUGUUUGCUGCCAGUGAUGGAUGAGUUUUCUUUCCUGAGGAAUGUGGAUGAUGAAAAAUAGUGACCUCUUUGCUUUCCACAGGGCCCUUCCAUCUGCCCAUGCUGCCCCCAUCUCCUGAUUUGUGAAAUUCAUCAGGUGUGCACCCUUCUAAUGGCUGCUCCGAUGAAAACAGUAAAAACCCAUCAAGCCAGACCAAGAGGAGUGACCUACUUAUAUCAGAUUGUGUUAACUUUCUGAGAAGAGACAGACUCAGACCCAGAGAGGAGAACACCAUGUGGAGAUGGAGGCAGAGGUUGGAGUGAUGCACCUACAAGCCAAGGAACACUGUGGAUGGCAGCAGCUGCCAGAAGCCAGGAGAGAGGCAUGGAGCAGGUGCUCCCUCAGAGUCACCAGCAGGAACCAACCCUGCUGACACUUUGAUUUCAAACCUCUGUCUUCCAGAACGGUGAUAGAAUAAAUUUCUGUUGUUUUAAGCCAUCCAAGUCUGUGGUAAUUUACUAUGGCAGCUCUAGGAAACUAACACUAGUGUAGGAUAAAAAAUUUUCUCAACUCUGUCCCCUUGUUUUCUCUCAUUAUGAUGCCUAUCACUGGCCGGACCCAACUGGAAGCUGGAAAGCAAGGGAACUGUGAUGUGGUCCCUGGAGGUCAGCCUCUAGGUGCAAUGCAGAGCAGAGAAUGGAUGGAGGGUGACUAUAAAUGGAGAAUAAUCCAGGCUUCUAUCUUCUUCAAGUUCAGAGUCAGGUGGAAGAUGACAUGAACCCCAAAGGCUCUGGAGAAACUGCUGUCUCGACCCCUCUUUUCCACCCCUUGCACCUGGUUCUGUUGUGAACACAAGCAGGCUGAGAACACAGCUUGUUCCUCAAAACUGCAUCUUGGACAAGAAAUUGACUUUCCCCGGGGAACAAUGUUAUAAACAGGCGAGGAGUGGUAUGUGCGUGCCGAAGAAAGAGAUGAUGUAGAAGUUAAAAGGCUGGAGAACAAUAAACAUGAAAAGCAGUUCAACGUCAUUUGUAAGCAAGCCAACUCAAGUAAAAAUAACACUGAAAUGAAUUCAUUGCCACCCUUCAGGUUGGCACAGAAGGAUGUGAUGGCUGUCUCCCAGGGCUGGUGAAGGCAGGGGGAAGAAGACUCACUCUCUACUGCUGCAGGACUGGUUGUGGAUUCGGUGAGGCGUAAAGACCCCAGCACAGUGCUGGCUCCCUUUCUCUUCCUGCUCAGCUCCUUUCCCGACAUCUGCAACUUGCAUUGUAAAGCAAAAGACAGGGAAAAGUCAAGGUUCAGCAUCAAUGUCUCAGUGCUGUGCAGUGUUAUUUGCAUAAACCUUCCCAUUCACUGAUGGAAACCCCUGGCAUGUUCAUGCCAAGCAUUCUUAGCAGUACACAUACCUGGGGCAGAUCAAGUGCUAUCAUGAGAAAAUUGACUGCAUUAAAUCACACAGGUCUUAAGGGAAGUGGAAGGGCAGGGUGGGAACUGAUAGCUAAGAACAACAUUUGCACCUUAUGACAAUUGCCUCAUCAUUGUAAUCCCAUUGGGGAAACCUAUACAAAUAUGACUAGUGUAGCUGCAGUGUGUGUUCUGCCCAUAGCUCCUCAGGUAUUUUCACCAUUUCCACCUGUGCCAACCUGAUGUCUGGUAACUGAUACUUUCAUCUUUGUUGUGGUUUGCCUUCAGAGUACAGAAAACCCCUUUGUCCCUGUAAACAGCCAGCAGGAAGUGCCUAUGAAUUAAUCACGCUUAACCACUGACAAGUGGUUUAUGAGUGUUGGUCAAGAAUAUUCAGCUCCCUGGCCAAAAUAAUUCUGAACCCUAUUUUGUGCUAUUUACCAGAGCGCCCCCAGGGGAUUAAGCUUUAAUCUUCCACUGUUGUAGCUGGCUGAAUAAUGGUUGCCUUCCCCUCCCAUACCACUUGCCCUCCUUCCUACCCCUGUUCCUUGCACCUCCCUAUAGGUGGCUUGUCCUCAGAGACUUGGCUCAAAGUCUGCUUCUGGGGCAAUAUAAACUAAGACAAGUGGCAAGCGAGGCCUGCUUAGCCCAUGUUUUCCAGAUAUACAUUUUGAGACUCAGGGACUGGGCUAACUUUGGUCACUUGCUCCUUGUUUUUUUGUGUUAAUCCAUCACCAACAGUUGCACAGCUCAUUCAUAACAUCCACAUAAUGAAAUCAUGUAUCCAGCAAGGGUUGAUAGGUGUAAAUUAUUAACAGUUAUUAAAUACUUUUAUUAUACUCACUUAACUACAGCAGAAAAUGGGGAACUAAGGAUAAGUAACUUGUCAGGAUCACACAGUAGGUGAAGGAGCCGGAUUUCAAACCCAGCACCUAUAUUUUGAACCCCCAUUUGUAAUGACUGUACCAUACUGUAC
rnacentral:lncRNA from 10 species